GACGAACGCUGGCGGCGUGCUUAACACAUGCGAGUCGAACGAAAAUACCAAGCUUGCUUGGUUGAUUAGUGGCGAACGGGUGAGUAACACGUGAGUAACCUGCCCCUUACUUUCCUGGAUAACUGCUCGAAAGGGUAGCUAAUACGGGAUAUUCUGACCAGCCUGCAUGGGUUGGUUUGGAAAGGUUGUUUUUCUGGUAAGGGAUGGGCUCGCGGCCUAUCAGCUUGUUGGUGGGGUGAUGGCCUACCAAGGCUUUGACGGGUAGCCGGCCUGGGAGGGUGGGCGGUCACAAUUGGACUGGGGUCCGGCCCAGACGCCUACGGGAGGGAGCAGUGGGGAAUAUUGCACAAUGGGCGCAAGGCUGAUGCAGCGACGCCGCGUGAGGGAAGAAAGCCUUCGGGUUGUAAACCUCUUUCGUCAGGGAACAAGGCACUGCUUUUUUGGUGGUGUUGAGGGUACCUGGAUAAGAAGCGCCGGCUAACUACGUG
rnacentral:rRNA from 1 species